rnacentral:rRNA from 1 species
GAUGAGCGCUGGCGGCGUGCCUAAUACAUGCAAGUCGAGCGAACAGACGAGGAGCUUGCUCCUCUGACGUUAGCGGCGGACGGGUGAGUAACACGUGGAUAACCUACCUAUAAGACUGGGAUAACUUCGGGAAACCGGAGCUAAUACCGGAUAAUAUAUUGAACCGCAUGGUUCAAUAGUGAAAGACGGUUUUGCUGUCACUUAUAGAUGGAUCCGCGCCGCAUUAGCUAGUUGGUAAGGUAACGGCUUACCAAGGCAACGAUGCGUAGCCGACCUGAGAGGGUGAUCGGCCACACUGGAACUGAGACACGGUCCAGACUCCUACGGGAGGCAGCAGUAGGGAAUCUUCCGCAAUGGGCGAAAGCCUGACGGAGCAACGCCGCGUGAGUGAUGAAGGUCUUCGGAUCGUAAAACUCUGUUAUUAGGGAAGAACAAAUGUGUAAGUAACUAUGCACGUCUUGACGGUACCUAAUCAGAAAGCCACGGCUAACUACGUG